rnacentral:RNase_P_RNA from 1 species
GCAGUCAAUCGGUCUGUCGCUGUUUCUGCGAAGGAAGCGAGGAAAGUCCGGACAACACCGCGCGCCCCGUUAUCUAACGGAUAGCUGUUUGCGAAAGCAGAGUUAAGUAGAAGAAAAUAACCGCCUGCCUUAGGCAGGUAAGGGUGAGAAGGCGAGGUAAGAGCUCACCGGUUCUUGCAGCAAUGCAGGAAGCCAUACAACUCGGGGGUUGCAAGGUCAUAUACACCGACGUAUGUAGGACUGCUCGUCCGAUGUCGGGGGGUGGACUGCUUGAGUUUGCCGGCGACGGCAAAUCGAGAUAAAUGACAGGCAUCAGCUAUGCUGAUACAGAAUCCGGCUUACAGAUUGACUGCUUUU